AAACAACAGGGAUUGCCCUAGUAACGGCGAGUGAAGCGGCAACAGCUCAAAUUUGAAAUCUGGCCCUCGGGUCCGAGUUGUAAUUUGUAGAGGAUGUUUCUGGCGACGUGUCUUCCGAGUUCCCUGGAACGGGACGCCAAAGAGGGUGAGAGCCCCGUCCGGUCGUACGCCUAGCCUCUGUGAAACUCCUUCGACGAGUCGAGUAGUUUGGGAAUGCUGCUCUAAAUGGGAGGUAUACGUCUUCUAAAGCUAAAUACCGGCCAGAGACCGAUAGCGCACAAGUAGAGUGAUCGAAAGAUGAAAAGCACUUUGAAAAGAGGGUUAAAUAGUACGUGAAAUUGCUGAAAGGGAAGCGCUCAUGACCAGACUUGGGCUCGGUUAAUCAUCCGGCGUUCUCGCCGGUGCACUUUGCCGGUCCAGGCCAGCAUCAGUUCGCCUCGGGGGAUAAAGGCUUCGGGAAUGUGGCUCCUCCGGGAGUGUUAUAGCCCGUYGUGCAAUACCCUGUGGCGGACUGAGGUACGCGUUCGCAAGGAUGCUGGCGUAAUGGUCAUCAGUGACCCGUCUUGAAACACGGACCAAGGAGUCGUCUUCGUAUGCGAGUGUUCGGGUGUUAAACCCCUACGCGGAAUGAAAGUGAACGUAGGAGAGAGCUUCGGCGCAUCUCCGACCGAUCCUGAUGUUCUCGGAUGGAUUUGAGUAAGAGCAUACGGGGCCGGACCCGAAAGAAGGUGAACUAUGCUUGUMUAGGGUGAAGCCAGAGGAAACUCUGGUGGAGGCUCGCAGCGGUUCUGACGUGCAAAUCGAUCGUCAAAUAUGAGCAUGSGGGCGAAAGACUAAUCGAACCUUCUAGUAGCUGGU
rnacentral:rRNA from 1 species